rnacentral:rRNA from 1 species
CAGCUUGCUGGGUGGAUUAGUGGCGAACGGGUGAGUAACACGUGAGCAACCUGCCCCUGACUCUGGGAUAACAGCCGGAAACGGUUGCUAAUACCGGAUAUGCAUCAUGGCCGCAUGGUCUGUGGUGGGAAAGAUUUUUCGGUUGGGGAUGGGCUCGCGGCCUAUCAGCUUGUUGGUGAGGUAGUGGCUCACCAAGGCGUCGACGGGUAGCCGGCCUGAGAGGGUGACCGGCCACACUGGGACUGAGACACGGCCCAGACUCCUACGGGAGGCAGCAGUGGGGAAUAUUGCACAAUGGGCGGAAGCCUGAUGCAGCAACGCCGCGUGAGGGAUGACGGCCUUCGGGUUGUAAACCUCUUUUAGCAGGGAAGAAGCGAAAGUGACGGUACCUGCAGAAAAAGCGCCGGCUAACUACGUGCCAGCAGCCGCGGUAAUACGUAGGGCGCAAGCGUUAUCCGGAAUUAUUGGGCGUAAAGAGCUCGUAGGCGGUUUGUCGCGUCUGCUGUGAAAACCCGAGGCUCAACCUCGGGCCUGCAGUGGGUACGGGCAGACUAGAGUGCGGUAAGGGAGAUUGGAAUUCCUGGUGUAGCGGUGGAAUGCGCAGAUAUCAGGAGGAACACCGAUGGCGAAGGCAGAUCUCUGGGCCGUUACUGACGCUGAGGAGCGAAAGGGUGGGGAGCAAACAGGCUUAGAUACCCUGGUAUUCAACCCCGUAAACGUUGGGAACGAGUUGUGUGCGCCUUUCAACGGUGUCGUGACGCAGCGUAUUCAUUAAUUACCCGUCUUGGAGAAGUACGGUCCGCAACGCUUAGAACU